UCGAUCGAUCAACAAUAUGUAUUUACGACUUACGUUUAUUCUGAUUUUUUGUUAAAUCAACACGUACCGUCUAUAACGGCUCUCGCCUUUCCUCGAACGAAGACGCGUAACAGUAACAACAGCGCGAUUAGAUUUCAUCGUAUCGCGUAAAAUAAGAUAAAGCGAGGAACGGAAAUAGUUGUCGCUCGUAUGUAAUUGCGAUUGAAUAGCCGUGCAUGCGCGGCGUGUGUCCUUAUAAAGUCUGACCUUCGACGCGGUACAAAAAUUACCGUAUAAAGACGAUAAAUGUUGGAGGGAGAAAAAAUUGAAGUGUCGGUAAGACGAACGUGAGAACGGAUGAAAAUAUGGUAGAUGGAUCGAUUCAAUUGGACAGAAGAUAAAACGCGAGUGGAACGUGACACGUUCCGGCAAUCUGACCGCUUUUGGCGCACGCGACGCGUCGUUUACGCAAUUUAUCGUAACGUUAUAAACGCGGGGUUUAACUCCGCGUUCUUUGGUAUCGCGUGCACGACCAACGACGCAGUAAAUUCUCCGAUCCUUCGUUUUAAUCGUUCUUCGAAAACACGGCUGCCCCUGGGAACGGCAUACAAACGACUCUCCACCCUCUGGCUUCGUACGCCGCGACGCCGACGCGUUUACUCUCGUGUUCGUCCCCGCGGCCAGAUUCGGUAUUCGUUGCAUUAAUUUGCAGGACCGAACGCAACUUUAUCGCUACAGUUUCAUAAAAUCUGGUGUACUCACAGUGCUCGUUAGCCGAUAACCUAGAGGCUGGCCUCGCGCGCCCGGAAUGUGAAUCAGCCGCACGCGCGGCUCCCACGGCCGCUGUUGUUUACAACGGCACGGCGGCGCGUGUGCAUGCACCUUUAAGUCGGGAUGCGCGGCCAGGUAUGCGGCGUUCACACCUGUGCGCGACACCAUCGAGCUAAAUAUAGAGAGUCACUCGGUAUACUAGCGACGUUCUCGAUGCUCGCCGAUAGAGACGACUAUUAAUAGCGUGCGACAAUCGGACGCGCUCGCCAUCGAACUAAAGAGGGAAUCGCGUGUGUGGUCCGGACAAUUAGUGGCCACUGAUUUGCGCCCGAUACUUCAGCGACAAUUUUUCUGGACGAUGUUGUAUAGCAAAUGUAUCGCAGAAUGCAAUAUCUGGGUCGUGUUACGUCGUAUUUCAGAAAGAGAAUUGCACGGUAAAAUUGUUCGAUAUGGAUGAUCUUUAUCGCUAAAUACAAAUAACUAUGAUACAUGCGUAUUAUUUCGCAUACACAAGUUUACCGUUUGUGCUUUCUUUAGCUGCAGCCAACGAACCUUGCAAGCAAGUCGAACGAAAGCGAGUCAAAGCGGCCGCAGAAGCCGCCUGUUCCCGAACCAGCAGGAAAGUUAACCAAUGGUCGCCCCCGGGACGUAAACAAUAAACAAAAGUCCCGAUGAAUCAGCGCUAAGGCACGUUGAAACGAGCCAGCUCUAAAGAUGCUCUAUUAUUAGCCGUGUGAGGCAAUUACGGGCACGCCGGUAACGAUUAACCAGCCGCUUUUAAAUCGGCCAGUUAUUCCUGCCGAUGUGUCAUGGUGAAGCGGCUGUUCCAGUGGAAUCGGCGACAUUGACGACGUGUGGCCAUUCGCGUGUCUAUUCGCGCGCCAACGCGGCCACGAAGAAAUAGGAUCGUGAAAAUAAGCUUCUAUGUUUGUCGAUGAUUUAUAAAUAAAAUAACGAGAUUGUUAAGCGGCGCCAACAGAGAUUAAAGAUGCGCGCGACGUACUGUUCUCCGGGCCCCAACGAACUUUUCCAGCGUAUUUUCCCGUUUCCCCGUUUCUUCGAACGAACGUGAAUGAAGGUAGACUCGGGACAAGCCUUUGUCGCCAGACGAUUCACACACGUUCGCCGAGAUGCGCGACCAGCAUGCGAAUAGCGGCACGUUCGCGAUUAGAACACCCGCUACAGCCUACGUUCCCGUUGGUAGGCUGGUGUAAACAGGAAGCUCGCUAUCGCCUUCACGCUGAAUCUUCCAUUGUCUCUGCGACAACGGGCGAAAUCGCUCGGCGAUUCUCCGUACCCGAAGACUGGCAGUUGGACAAAAGAUUUCUUCUUUCGGAAAUACAUAUUUCAGCCGGCUUCGCGCGCUCCGCCCGAUGACGUGCCUAUUAACAUCCGCGGUUGCGUGUAUACAUUGGACACAGACCUUUCUUAUCCGGCCAACACGGAUCUCUCUAUUUUUAUUUGGCCCUCUAACGUUUGCUGUUUUGAAACGCCACACGCUCAACGGUGCAAUGCUGAUACGAUAUAUAUUGGAAAAUUCCUGAAAAAGAAGCUCUUGGUGCUCCAACCGGAUUGGAAGAACGAACAACUCGUGGGUUGCGGCAUCGUUUAAUCUGGCGGAUCCGUUUUUAAGAAUCAUCGUUUAACGUUGUAUCUUCGCGCGCGUUUCCCGGGCGAUUUUCCGAGCUUAAGGACAACGAUGGUUUCGGAAAACGAGAUGGAAAAAACGCUUUGUUGCUGGAAUAAUCCUGUGACGAGAGGGCGGGAUACGGUGUGAGAAUAGAUAGCAAAAGGACAAGCCAAAAGGGACAAAGCAGACUUUGGGAAAAAAAUGCAGGCAAAUACGGAGGCGGCGUUCUUUUCUAAUCUAUUGACAUAAAAGACUAAUGACAGAACCUUCCUAGAAGUACAAGCUACCACUUUGGAAAUUUGAAAGAGGAAUUUACGUUAUUGGUCCUCCGUGAGACACACGGUUGUACAUUAUUGGCAGAAAACGGAGUGUUGUUUUAGGUUCGAAUUUUGCUAGACCAAGACUUUCUAUUCGAGAUAAGAAGUCCUUGUUACGGUCGUCGAAGCUACUCCCUGAUUUCUUUUGUGAAGGCAGAAAGGAUCGUCAAUUGAAUCCUAAUGGACAAAUUGUGAAUGUAAACAACUAAAUAAAAUAAAAAAAAAAGCAAAAAAAAAUUGAAUCCUGUAGCGACAUGAAUUGUUCUUUGAAGCGCUGCAGGCAGAGAUCCUACGCCUCUGGAGCAACAGUUCGAAGAAUUCUUCGAACAAUAAGUUCGUUCGUCGCUUUGAAAGCAUACGGACUUGAAAACACCGGUCGAAAGCAUCAUAAUCAAGAAUCUGAUCCUAAUUUCAUAAGAUACUGCGCAACAUUCGAAAACAACAGAACUCUCUCAUAAUAUCUGAACGCGCGUUCUCCCAUCAACAGGUUUCUCCCAUCGCGGCGAGUUCACGAGCAUCAUCGCUGGAACCUCGAAUCCCCUUCGAUCCCGGUGCAACAUCUGCUCGAUCAUGAGUACAUAAAGGCAAGAAACCGUGAGAAAAGACCGAAUCGCGCGCGAACACGGGACUGCUACGCGGCAAUUAAGAGAUCGGCGAUCGAUCGGGGAAUCCACCGUUUCCCGGAAACGGCGCACGGAGGAAAACGCCGGCUGGGAAUGGAGGUUUGAGGCCGAUCCACGAGGAACGCGUUCCUCCGGUCGGCCACGGUCGACGGAGGAAACGAGCCUCUGCCCGGAAUACACGUUUCACCACUUAAUUAUCGUUCAUCGCUUAAUUAUUUUCCUCUCAUUGUCGGCCUGGCACCGCGCCGGGCAUGAUAAUCAGCCGCGAUUCCGACGCGGAAAUUGCGGAAAGAAGCAGGAAGCUACGUCGUCUUCUUUCCUCUGUUUUUUUCCUCUCCUUCUUUUUCUUUCUUUUUCUUCUCUUCCCUCUCUCUCUCUCCCUCUCUGUCUCUUUCUCUUUCUCUCUGCCUUUCGCUUCUGCAACGGCGUACGUGUAAUACCGUUAGCCGUUGACAAGCCGAUGCAUCCUGGCCGCGAAUCACCUGAGGAAAGGAAGAAAACAGAAGAGAAGAAGCGACCGGACGAACGCACAGGAGAAACAAAGAAGGGAAUACGGAGGUAACUGGUAAUAUCGCCGCGAAUAAUAGCAUUCUCGUUACGUCACAUCCUGUAAACAACGUUUACGAUUUGACGAUUCGGUGGAAACGCCGGGAAUAAUCGUAAUUUGCGGUGGCCACUGGUAACGCUUCAGCGAUUCACAUUUUCCUACAUCCUGUUGCUCCGACGUCCCGUUUCGAACUAAGGAACGCAGGGAUUGAAGGAACGAGGUGUUAUGGAAAAUCUGGUUGCACGUGUUGGACGUAUUAUACUUAUCUAUAAUAAGUAUUAACUUAUUAUAAAUAAUUAGCCAUGUUACUGCGCCACGCCAGAAAAAUUACUGAAAAUUCUCAACGCGAGAAUUGAUUGUAAUUUUAAUAAAUAUUAAAAAAAAAAACGUGUUGGACGAAACACUCGAAACGUCUUGGUGAACUUCCGUAUACUCGUUUGAAAAAAUUUCUGUGGCUGGCUAAACAUCAAAUUCUUAAAGUUAGAGCAGUUAUUUUGUACUUAUGUCCUA